UACGUAGGGGGCAAGCGUUGUCCGGAUUCAUUGGGCGUAAAGAGCGUGUAGGCGGCCAGGUAGGUCGGUUGUGAAAACUGGAGGCUCAACCUUCAGAGGUCGACCGAAACCAUCUGGCUAGAGUCCGGAAGAGGCGGGUGGAAUUCCUGGUGUAGCGGUGGAAUGCGCAGAUAUCAGGAGGAACACCAACGGCGAAGGCAGCCCGCUGGGACGGUACUGACGCUGAGACGCGAAAGCGUGGGGAGCGAACAGG
rnacentral:rRNA from 1 species